AAUAACCGCAGGGGGAGCUUUGUGCUGAGAGUGAACAUUCGUUGUUCUGACCCUUUGAACCUGUCAGUUAAUACUGAAGUAGGAAUGUGGAAUCACUUGAAU
rnacentral:ncRNA from 1 species